rnacentral:rRNA from 1 species
GGGUUAUACUGUCUCCUUUCUCUAAUCAGUGAAACUAAUCUCCCCGUGAAGAAGCGGGGAUAAAACUAUAAGACGAGAAGACCCCAUGGAGCUUUAAACCUAGCCACACCCAGAAUCUUUAUACCUAACUAUUAUCUGAACCCUGUAAGCUAGGCUUUAGGUUGGGGUGACCGCGGAGUAAAACAAAACCUCCGCAAUGAACGAAACUACCGUCUUAUCUAAGAAUAAUCCCUCUAAGAAUUAGCACUCUAACAUAAAUGAUCCAAUUAUUGAUCAACGGACCAAGUUACCCUGGGGAUAACAGCGCAAUCCACUUCAAGAGCUCCUAUCGACAGGUGGGUUUACGACCUCGAUGUUGGA